UCCGGUUGAUCCUGCCGGACCUGACUGCUAUCGGAUUGAUACUAAGCCAUGCGAGUCAUUGUAGCAAUACAAGGCAGACGGCUCAGUAACGCGUAGUCAACCUACCCUAUGGACGGGAAUAACCUCGGGAAACUGAGUAUAAUGCCCGAUAGAACACUAUACCUGGAAUGGUUUGUGUUUCAAAUGAUUUAUCGCCAUAGGAUGGGACUGCGGCCUAUCAGUUUGUUGGUGAGGUAAUGGCCCACCAAGACUAUUACAGGUACGGGCUCUGAGAGGAGUGGCCCGGAGAUGGGUACUGAGACACGGACCCAGGCCCUAUGGGGUGCAGCAGGCGAGAAAACUUUGCAAUGUGCGAAAGCACGACAAGGUUAAUCCGAGUGGUUUGUGCUAAACGAACCUUUUGUCAGUCCUAGAAACACUAACGAAUAAGGGGUGGGCAAGUUCUGGUGUCAGCCGCCGCGGUAAAACCAGCACCUCAAGUGGUCAGGAUGAUUAUUGGGCCUAAAGCAUCCGUAGCCGGCUCUGUAAGUUUUCGGUUAAAUCUGUACGCUUAACGUACAGGCUGCCGGGAAUACUGCAGAGCUAGGGAGUGGGAGAGGUAGACGGUACUCGGUAGGAAGGGGUAAAAUCCUUUGAUCUAUCGAU
rnacentral:rRNA from 1 species